rnacentral:tRNA from 1 species
UACGGGGUCACCUAGCCUGGAUUGGGUGCCAGACUCAUAAUCUGGUUGCGCGGGUUCGAAUCCCGCCCCCGGCA